CUGCCAUAUACUCAAAGGCCUGGGAGUGAUUAAAAUUUUAUUUGGUCCCUGGUUUUGUUCCUUGGCUAUCAGGUUAAGAUGUUUUACCAAAUCCUUUUAACAGGUAGUUUGGCAACUUGGACUACACAGGAAUUGUUUCUGAACUUGAGAUUGUACUGAGCACUAAUAGUGCACUGUUGGAAAAAAAAAUUAGUAUCAUUCAUACAUAUUGCCCUUUACUGUGACAAAGCAUUUCCACUUAUGGCAUCACAUUUGAUUUUCUAACACCUUAACCCGAAAAGUGCUUUCAAGCUACACAUCUCCCUCUCUAGGGUAUAUGAGAAGAAGAAGUGAAAGUGUGUUGAAGGCAGGGCAGAAAAAGGCUGCUCUUGGUAAUCAAGACAGAAAUUCCACCCCUGCUUUGGAGCUGAGUGUCUGAGAUCAAGUUCGAGGCUGAUAAGAUUCUAACACAGAGCCACCUCAUGAAGGACAUUGCUACAGCAGCUGCCACGAGCUGAACAGCUUUCCUGCACAAGGCCUUUCUACCCUGAGGAUUCCACCACGAAACCAGUAGACCAUGGACUGAACCUUCUGAAGAUGUGUAUCAAAAUGCACUUUUCCUCCUUCAAGAUGUUUUUAUCAGAAAUUUUAGUCAAAGCAAAGAAAAGAUGUCUAAUAUAUGGCUCCAUGUCUCCAUCUUUGAAGAGAGCAACAGUAUCUCAAAGCCUUCUUCUGCCAAUCUACUCUGCCACCUGUUCUGCCCCAUCUCUGAUGAGCUCUUCUGCUUCUCUCUGCCAUUUCUAAGAACAUGAUUAGAUUGUGCCCAUAAUCCAGGAUAAUCCUUCAUCUCAAGGUCCACAGCCUCAAUCAUAUCAGCAAAUGUCUUCUACCAUGAUGGUAACAUAAUCAUGGGCUCCUGAGAGAAGAGUGUGAUCAUUUCUGAUGGGGUGGGACAUAAUCCUGCCCAGGACAGUCCACUUGUUGUUACUGUAUUUACUUCCUCCAGCAUUUAUUUUUUCAUGCUAGCUCCAUAUCAUUUGUUUUCCAUCUGUACACUAGAUUUUGCUGAGGAGCUUUCUAAAAUAUACCAUCAACUAAAUUCAACCCCAGGCCAAUUAUCUCAAAAUUCUUUGGGGUGAAGAUAUUUUGUUCUAUUUUAGAUCAAAUGUUAUGUUAUGUUUAUUUAUGCUCCUGUUAAGUUUAUUAUGAUUAAAAACUCAAUUCUAAAAUCA